AUUGAACGCUGGUGGCAGGCCUAACACAUGCCAGUCGAGCGGAUGAAGGGAGCUUGCUCCUGGAUUCAGCGGCGGACGGGUGAGUAAUGCCUAGGAAUCUGCCUGGUAGUGGGGGAUAACGUCCGGAAACGGGCGCUGAUACCGCAUACGUCCUGAGGGAGAAAGUGGGGGAUCUUCGGACCUCACGCUAUCAGAUGAGCCUAGGUCGGAUUAGCUAGUUGGUGGGGUAAAGGCCUACCAAGGCGACGAUCCGUAACUGGUCUGAGAGGAUGAUCAGUCACACUGGAACUGAGACACGGUCCAGACUCCUACGGGAGGCAGCAGUGGGGAAUAUUGGACAAUGGGCGAAAGCCUGAUCCAGCCAUGCCGCGUGUGUGAAGAAGGUCUUCGGAUUGUAAAGCACUUUAAGUUGGGAGGAAGGGCAGUAAGUUAAUACCUUGCUGUUUUGACGUUACCAACAGAAUAAGCACCGGCUAACUUCGUG
rnacentral:rRNA from 1 species